UACUAUGUUACGACUUAUCUCAUCUUAAUUAACGAGACUGACGGGCGAUGUGUACACAUGCUAGAGCUUGUAUCACAAAAAUAUAUCUCAUUAUUAAUUACUAUUAAAUCCACCUUCAUAAAAAUAUUACAACCCUUAAUCCGUAAUAUAUCAUAAAUAAUGUAAUCCAUUACCACCUAAUCAUCAACUGCACCUUGACCUGAAAUAAAUCUAAUCUUAAGCAUAAAGAAAAUUCCCCUAAUAAGAUCUUCAAUAACGGCGAUAUACAUAUAAUCUUUAACUAGGUAAGGUCCAACGCGGAAUAUCGAUAACGGAACAGAUUCCUCUAACUAGACUAGAAUACCGCCAAAUUCUUUAAGUUUCAAGUCCAUAACUAAUACUACUUUAGUUCCACAAAAUUUUAAAUUACAAAUAAUAGGGUAUCUAAUCCUAGUUU
rnacentral:rRNA from 1 species